GGAUAUUUGCCGUAAGGAUGUUACGUGCGACUUCUACUUCAGCAUGGAUUCAGACGUGAUGCUCACCAACAGACAGACACUGAAGCUCCUCGUGGAGCAGAACAGGAAAAUAAUUGGUCCCCUUGUCACCCGCCACGGCAAGCUGUGGUCCAACUUCUGGGGAGGCUUGAGCCUGGAUGGUUAUUACGCUCGCUCCGAAGAUUACAUCGACAUUGUGCAGAGAAAACGUGUGGGUUUUGUGGAACAUCCUUUCAUGGCCAUGUAUA